CUUCUAGUAUGAUAUUACCAUAAUAUUUACAAAUAAAAAUGUAUGUAAUUUAUAGUUACUCAGUGUUUAUUAUAAAUCGUUACAGACGAGGGAAUGUACGAAUUUUUGAAGCGAUUUGUCCGACAAUUAAUUGGAACGAGUUUAUUCGAUGUGCGUAGGUUGUAGCUUGGAUGUUCGGCUGGUUCAACUAGUUCGGAAAGAGGACUAGUUUGCGGAAGAACCUUUUUCCUAAAAAAUUUUGAACAUAACAGUUCGCGCCUAGAAUACAAUGUUGGGAUAUUGAGAUCUGAUAAGGAUUCUUUGUAUGAUGACGAUGGGUUAAUUAUUUUCAACGCUCUUGACUGGAUCCUUUCUAUUUCUUUGGAUAGGUAUUCAGGUAUGUUAUAAUGCCAAACUUGGGCGCAAUACUCCAAGAUGGGUCUUACACAUGAAAAAUACACUGAUAUCAAUGUUUAAACUAGGAUCAAAGUUAUCCGGUCAGUGAAACUCAGUGGCGAAGCCAGCGGUCAUGCAGUGCAUAAAAGUUUCCCCAAAAAUGUUUAAAAAUCAGUUCAGUAUAAUUGUUUACAAUAGAAUUAUACUUUAUAUUUGCACUUCUACG